UACGAAGGUGGCAAGCGUUGUUCGGAUUUACUGGGCGUACAGGGAGCGUAGGCGGUUGGGUAAGCCCUCCGUGAAAUCUUCGGGCCUAACCCGGAAAGUGCGGAGGGGACUGCUCGGCUAGAGGAUGGGAGAGGAGCGCGGAAUUCCCGGUGUAGCGGUGAAAUGCGUAGAGAUCGGGAGGAAGGCCGGUGGCGAAGGCGGCGCUCUGGAACAUUUCUGACGCUGAGGCUCGAAAGCGUGGGGGAGCAAACAGG
rnacentral:rRNA from 1 species